CGGGGGGGGGGGCAAGCGUUGUUCGGAAUUACUGGGCGUAAAGGGCGUGUAGGCGGUCCCGCAAGUCUUUCGUGAAAUCCCACAGCUCAACUGUGGAACUGCGAGGGAAACUGCAGGACUUGAGUCCGGGAGAGGAGAGUGGAAUUCCCAGUGUAGCGGUGAAAUGCGUAGAUAUUGGGAGGAACACCGGUGGCGAAGGCGGCUCUCUGGACCGGUACUGACGCUGAGGCGCGAAAGCUAGGGGAGCAAACGGGAUUAGAUACCCCGGUAGUCCUAGCCUUAAACGAUGAGCACUUGGUGUGGCGGGUAUCGACCCCUGCCGUGCCGAAGCUAACGCAUUAAGUGCUCCGCCUGGGGAGUACGGUCGCGAGGCUG
rnacentral:rRNA from 1 species